GAUGAACGCUGGCGGCGUGCCUAAUACAUGCAAGUCGAGCGAAUGGAUUAAGAGCUUGCUCUUAUGAAGUUAGCGGCGGACGGGUGAGUAACACGUGGGUAACCUGCCCAUAAGACUGGGAUAACUCCGGGAAACCGGGGCUAAUACCGGAUAACAUUUUGAACCGCAUGGUUCGAAAUUGAAAGGCGGCUUCGGCUGUCACUUAUGGAUGGACCCGCGUCGCAUUAGCUAGUUGGUGAGGUAACGGCUCACCAAGGCAACGAUGCGUAGCCGACCUGAGAGGGUGAUCGGCCACACUGGGACUGAGCCACGGCCCAGACUCCUACGGGAGGCAGCAGUAGUGAAUCUUCCGCAAUGGACGAAAGUCUGACGAAGCAACGCCGCGUGAGUGAUGAAGGCUUUCGGGUCGUAAAACUCUGUUGUUAGGGAAGAACAAGUGCUAGUUGAAUAAGCUGGCACCUUGACGGUACCUAACCAGAAAGCCACGGCUAACUACGUGCCAGCCGCCGCGGUAA
rnacentral:rRNA from 1 species